GGCCAUAUAACUCAGUGGUCAGAAUGUCAUUAUGUCAAUGGCUGUGUUGCGAGUUCGACUCUCGCCAUGGCUA